GCAGGGAAUGAGGUUCUCCCCUGGAAUUCGAUCCUAAACCGCUUUUUAAGCUGAUGACUUCUGCGAU
rnacentral:ncRNA from 1 species